rnacentral:rRNA from 1 species
UACGAAGGGGGCUAGCGUUGUUCGGAAUUACUGGGCGUAAAGCGUGCGCAGGCGGCCUUCCAAGUCAGGGGUGAAAGCCCAGAGCUCAACCCUGGAAUUGCCUUUGAGACUGUGAGGCUUGAGUACGGGAGAGGUGAGUGGAAUUCCCAGUGUAGAGGUGAAUUCGUAGAUAUUGGGAAGAACACCGGUGGCGAAGGCGGCUCACUGGCCCGAAACUGACGCUCAUGCACGACAGCGUGGGGAUCAAACAGG